GAGAAGUAAUUCACCUUUUGUUCUAGCGGCGGACGGGUGAGUAACGCGUGAGCAACCUGUCCUUGUCUGGGGGAUAAGGAGCCGAAAGGCUCUCUAAUACCGCAUGAGACCACGGGAUCACAUGGUUCUGAGGUCAAAGGAUUUCGGUCCGGACAGGGGUGGGCUCGCGUCUGAUUAGCUAGUUGGUGGGGUAAGGGCUCACCAAGGCAACGUCAGAGCCGACCUGAGAGGGUGAUCCGCCACAUUGAACUGAAACACGGUCCAAACUCUACGAGCCAGCAGUGGGGAAUAUUGGGCAUGGGCGAAGCUGACCAGCAACGCGCGGAAGAGAGGCUUUCGGGUCGUAAACUUCUAUCCAGAUGAAGAUAAUGACGGUAAUCUGGAAGGAAGCCCCGGCUAACUACGUGCAGCAGCCGCGGUAAUACGUAGGGGGCAAGCGUGUCCGGAAUGAUUGGGCGUAAAGGGCGCAUAGGCGGCCUUUUAAGUCCGAUGUGAAAGUCCUGCUUUUAAGGUGGGAAUUGCAUUGGAAACUGGAAGGCUUGAGUGCAGGAGAGGUAAAUGGAAUUCCCGGUGUAGCGGUGAAAUGCGUAGAGAUCGGGAGGAACACCAGUGGCGAAGGCGACUUACUGGACUGUAACUGACGCUGAGGCGCGAAAGUGUGGGGAGCAAACAGGAUUAGAUACCCUGGUAGUCCACACGGUAAACGAUGAGUGCUAGGUGUAGGAGGUAUCGACCCCUUCUGUGCCGGAGUCAACACAAUAAGCACUCCGCCUGGGGAGUACGGCCGCAAGGUUGAAACUCAAAGGAAUUGACGGGGGCCCGCACAAGCAGCGGAGCAUGUUGUUUAAUUCGAAGCAACGCGAAGAACCUUACCAGGUCUUGACAUCCAGUAAAAACUGUAGAGAUACAGUGUGACUUCGGUCAUACUGAGACAGGUGGUGCAUGGUUGUCGUCAGCUCGUGUCGUGAGAUGUUGGGUUAAGUCCCGCAACGAGCGCAACCCUUGUGAUUAGUUACUACGCGUAGAGGCGAGGACUCUAAUAAGACUGCGGGACACUCGGAGAGGUGGGACGACGUCAAUCAUCAUGCCCCUUAUGACUGGCUACAACGUGCUACAAUGGCAUACGAAGCUGCAAACUCGUAGGUAAGCGAAUCUCAUAAAAGUGGUCCCAGUUCGGAUUGUGGGCUGCAACCCGCCCACAUGAAGUCGGAGUUGCUAGCAAUCGCGAAUCAGCAUGUCGCGGUGAAUACGUUCCCGGGCCUUGUACACACCGCCCGUCACACCAUGGGAGUUGAUAGCGCCCGAAGUCGGUGAGGCAACCGUAAGGAGUCAGCCGCCGAAGGUGAGAUCAAUGACUGGGGUGAAGUCGUAACAAGGUAACC
rnacentral:rRNA from 1 species